UAUGAACGCUAGCGGCAGGCUUAACACAUGCAAGUCGAGGGGUAACAUUGUAGCUUGCUACAGAUGACGACCGGCGCACGGGUGCGUAACGCGUAUACAAUCUACCUUAUACUGGGGUAUAGCCUUUAGAAAUGAAGAUUAAUCCCCCAUAGUCUCUUAUAGUGGCAUCACUUAAAGAGUAAAGGUUACGGUAUAAGAUGAGUAUGCGUUCUAUUAGUUUGUUGGUAAGGUAACGGCUUACCAAGACUACGAUAGAUAGGGGCCCUGAGAGGGGGAUCCCCCACACUGGUACUGAGACACGGACCAGACUCCUACGGGAGGCAGCAGUGAGGAAUAUUGGACAAUGGAGGCAACUCUGAUCCAGCCAUGCCGCGUGUAGGAUGACUGCCCUAUGGGUUGUAAACUACUUUUAUACAGGAAGAAACACCUCUACGUGUAGAGGCUUGACGGUACUGUAAGAAUAAGGAUCGGCUAACUCCGUGCCAGCAGCCGCGGUAAUACGGAGGAUCCAAGCGUUAUCCGGAAUCAUUGGGUUUAAAGGGUCCGUAGGUUGAUAAUUAAGUCAGAGGUGAAAUCUUGCAGCUCAACUGUAAAAUUGCCUUUGAUACUGGUUAUCUUGAGUUAUUAUGAAGUAGUUAGAAUAUGUAGUGUAGCGGUGAAAUGCAUAGAUAUUACAUAGAAUACCAAUUGCGAAGGCAGAUUACUAAUAAUCAACUGACACU
rnacentral:rRNA from 1 species